AACUCUUAGCGGUGGAUCACUCGGCUCGUGCGUUGAUGAAGAACGCAGCUAGCUGCAAGAACUAAUGUGAAUCAUCAACACUUCGAACGCACCUUGCGGCCCAAGGUUCCUCCAGGGGCUAUGGCUGUCUGAGGGUCG
rnacentral:rRNA from 1 species